GUCCAGACUCCUACGGGAGGCAGCAGUGGGGAAUAUUGCGCAAUGGGCGAAAGCCUGACGCAGCGACGCCGCGUGAGGGAUGAAGGUCUUCGGAUCGUAAACCUCUGUCAGCAGGGAAGAACGGUCACUGUGCUAAUCAGCAGUGAAUUGACGGUACCUGCAAAGGAAGCACCGGCUAACUCCGUGCCAGCAGCCGCGGUAAUACGUAGGGGGCAAGCGUUAUCCGGAAUUACUGGGUGUAAAGGGAGCGUAGACGGCAAUGCAAGUCCGGAGUGGAAUGCGGCAGCUCAACUGCCGAACUGCUCUGGAAACUGUAUGGCUUGAGUGCAGGAGGGGUAAGCGGAAUUCCUGGUGUAGCGGUGAAAUGCGUAGAUAUCAGGAGGAACACCGGUGGCGAAGGCGGCUUACUGGACUGUAACUGACGUUGAGGCUCGAAAGCGUGGGGAGCAAACAGGAUUAGAUACCCCAGUA
rnacentral:rRNA from 1 species